GUCUAUGCCUAUGCCACCCUAAACAAUCCUGAUCCCUUCCGAUCCCAUCUGAUCUAAGAAGCUAAGCAGGGUCGGGCCUGGUUAGUACUUGGAUAGGAAACCACCAAGGAACAUCAGGUGCUUGAGACA
ensembl:rRNA 5S_rRNA 5S ribosomal RNA